UACGGAGGGUGCAAGCGUUAAUCGGAAUUACUGGGCGUAAAGCGUGCGCAGGCGGUUUGUUAAGUCCGUUGUGAAAGCCCCGAGCUCAACUUGGGAAUUGCAGUGGAUACUGGCAGGCUGGAGUACGGUAGAGGAAGGUGGAAUUCCCGGUGUAGCAGUGAAAUGCGUAGAUAUCGGGAGGAACACCAGAGGCGAAGGCGGCUACCUGGACAAUUGCUGACGCUCAGGCACGAAAGCGUGGGGAGCAAAAGGG
rnacentral:rRNA from 1 species